rnacentral:lncRNA from 1 species
GAAGGUCGAGAUGGACCAUGUUGGGCCCCUUCUCUCCCCGCCCCCAGGCCGCAGUUCGGGGGCCACGCCCCGGCGUGCUCGGGUCACCGCGGGAAGCCCUUGAACCCCCUGGCGCCCGGCACCCACGUGCGGUAACCGCGGCUCCUCGAGAGCUCCAGGGAUGCGGAUCUACAGUAAGGGCUGUGGCCAGAUGAAUGAAUGCACAUUUUUUAGUGGGCAGAAAGAUGUUAGAAUUCAUGAAUUAGAAUAAGCACAAAGGAGGGCGAGAGGGGAGGCCGUGGAAGCCGCAUUCCUCCCCUUGCCUUGGGCGCCCACCCCCGAAGGGGCGCGUCCCCUCCCUGCUCCACUGCACGUGGGUGUUUAACCAGGGGAUAUCCAGUGCCUCAAGCACCACGACCCGGGAGAAAACUGAGUUGAGAAGGGUCCAUUCAAGAAUUGUGCCCACAAUAUACCAGGCACUUGUCCAGACCUGCAUCGUCCAAUGCCCACCUCGACCUCCCAAAGUGUUGGGAUUAGAGGCGUGAGCCACCGCGCCCUGCCUGCAUGUGGCUAUUGAGAUGUGCUGUAUGAUACACACCGGACUUUGAAGACUCAGUGUGAAAAAUAAAAAGAAUUUUAAGAGGGGUGGGGGUCGAGGGGAGGCAGAGCAGUAGGACAAAUAGCUAAUGCACGCAGGGCUUAAAACCUAGACAACAGGUUGAUGGGUGCAGCAAACCACCAUGACACAUGUUUAUCUAUAUAGCACCUACAUGUUCUGCACUUGUAUCCUGGAACUUAAAAUUAGAAAAAAAAAAUAAUAAAAGCCAACAUGGCAUUCAUUACUGCCAAAAAAAUUA